AUGGCACCAGGAGCCACAACCGAGUCCCAACACGACACCCGACGCCCUCCACCCAGCCUCGCGUCCCAGCCUCACCGAACCACGCAGCCCCUCCAGGCGCUGCUCGCCCCCCGGGGGACUCCCCAGCCACCUCCAGACCCCCGGCCGGGGGUGCAGGGGCACUGGGGGGGGCCGAGGCCGGCCGGGGGCCCUCGGGUCCGGCGCCAGGAGCCCGCCGGGGCCUGCCCCGCUGGCUCGGCCGGGAGCGGGGGGGCCGCAGGCGGCGCUGCGCGGCCCUUCCCCGCCGCAGCCGUGCCCGGCGCGGGGAACGCGCCCCCUGCCGCCGCCCGCCCUCAUCUCCGGCGGGGCUGCGCUGCAUUUUGGGUGGGGGCUGGUAUUUUUUUAUUUAUUUAUUAUUUUUUUUCCUCUCCUCUCCCCGGCCACGCUCAGAAACCGGGAGCCACGAUCCCGGAUCGAACGGAGAGGGAGCUGGGUGGAAAGAAAAAGAAUUAUGAAAAAAAAAUAAAAGGAGGGGGGCAGGCUGAGGCUCAGCAUCACCCACACCGCGGUACUUGUUUGGGAAACCUUCCCCUCCCUCCCCCGCCCCCGGGCUGCGAUCGCCGAGCGCAGGGAAGGGGGAGCAGCCCCGGGGUGCGGAGCGGGGCGUUCGGCCUCCGCUGUUCCCCCCCUGCCUUUGUCUGGGAGCCGGGGGUCGGCGGCCGGAGCCCGCGGCGGGGCCGGGCAGGGCCGAGCCAGGCGGCGCCGCCGCCGCUGCUGGUGCUGGGCUGCAUCCCGCGGCUGGGGCUCGGCGCGGGGCAGCGGCUCCGGCUCCUCCCGGCGGGCUGGGGGCCGCUGCCCGCCUGGCUCCGGCCCCAACUCCGCCACCGGGGCCCUACAGCAGCGGCGGGAUGCUGGCUCCGGGACGGGUCCCCUGAGCGGCCGGAGGGAAGGGAAGCGAAAGAGGGAGGGAAGGGGAGGAGGAGGAGGGAAGGAAGGCGGCGGCGCAGCGGUCCCCGCCGCCCGCUGGGGCGGCCUCAGCGCUUCAACGGGUGUGCGGCCGGGCACGGCGGAGGGAAGGGAAGGGAAGGGAAGGGAAGGGGCCCGCCCGCCCCCCUCGCAGCCCCCCAGCCGACCACCCCGGGGCCGGGUCCCGCCGGGGGGGGGCCAGGCCAUGUCCUGAGGCGGGCGGGGGCCGCCCGCAGCCGGGCCGUGCCGCGGAGCCGCGCACACACCUACCUGCCCGGGGCUCUCUGUCCUCGGCAGCGAGGGCGGGCGCUCCCCCGGCACCUCAGCCUCGGGGGUGUG
rnacentral:lncRNA from 1 species